rnacentral:rRNA from 1 species
CCUACGGGGGGCUGCAGUAGGGAAUCUUCCACAAUGGACGCAAGUCUGAUGGAGCAACGCCGCGUGAGUGAAGAAGGGUUUCGGCUCGUAAAGCUCUGUUGGUAGUGAAGAAAGAUAGAGGUAGUAACUGGCCUUUAUUUGACGGUAAUUACUUAGAAAGUCACGGCUAACUACGUGCCAGCAGCCGCGGUAAUACGUAGGUGGCAAGCGUUGUCCGGAUUUAUUGGGCGUAAAGCGAGUGCAGGCGGUUCAAUAAGUCUGAUGUGAAAGCCUUCGGCUCAACCGGAGAAUUGCAUCAGAAACUGUUGAACUUGAGUGCAGAAGAGGAGAGUGGAACUCCAUGUGUAGCGGUGGAAUGCGUAGAUAUAUGGAAGAACACCAGUGGCGAAGGCGGCUCUCUGGUCUGCAACUGACGCUGAGGCUCGAAAGCAUGGGUAGCGAACAGGAUUAGAUACCCCUGUAGUC